CUACAGUGAUGGUGCAAUCCCCACAACCUUGAUUAUCGCUUAUAAAAAGCCCGACACUCUGUUCAUCCAGCAGAGUCGUACCCGGCAUUGUAUCCCGACUACCUUGACAUACAAACUACUGCAAGAACACUCUGCCUCCUUCUCGUUAUUGUUCAUUAAUAACUAUUGUUAGUAACAAUGAGACGAAGUUCUCGCAUAAGUUAAAAAAACCCGGUGGACUAUUCUAAGUAUUUUCCUCCGAAAGAAAAUCUCAGAAGAAAACGGCCAGCUGAAGUUGUCAAACAGGAACCAGAUGAUGGCGUCCCAGCUGAAAGGAGGACCUGGCUGAUCGGAUCACGCCAUCACGUGGAAACUGUGUUAUCUCUUAGGUGAUAGAAACUGAGAAAGGAGGAGAGCAUACAUUCGUUUUUUUACGAUGCCCGUGUACAGUAGUCUCAAGCUCAGGACU